rnacentral:rRNA from 1 species
UACGUAGGGUGCAAGCGUUAAUCGGAAUUACUGGGCGUAAAGCGUGCGCAGGCGGUUGUGUAAGACAGAUGUGAAAUCCCCCGGAGCACACGAUGGACUGCGUCUGAUACUGGAUGGCUUGAAUUCGGGAGAGGGAUGCAGAAUUCCAGGUGUAGCGGUGAAAUGCGUAGAUAUCUGGAGGAAUACCGGUGGCGAAGGCGGCAUCCUGGACCGACAUUGACGCUGAUGAGCGAAAGCUAGGGGAGCAAACGGGG